UGGAAGUAAAAAGUCGUAACAAGGUUUCCGUAGGUGAACCUGCGGAAGGAUCAUUACCGAGUGCGGGCUGCCUCCGGGCGCCCAACCUCCCACCCGUGACUACCUAACACUGUUGCUUCGGCGGGGAGCCCUCUCGGGGGCGAGCCGCCGGGGACUACUGAACUUCAUGCCUGAGAGUGAUGCAGUCUGAGUCUGAAUAUAAAAUCAGUCAAAACUUUCAACAAUGGAUCUCUUGGUUCCGGCAUCGAUGAAGAACGCAGCGAACUGCGAUAAGUAAUGUGAAUUGCAGAAUUCAGUGAAUCAUCGAGUCUUUGAACGCACAUUGCGCCCCCUGGCAUUCCGGGGGGCAUGCCUGUCCGAGCGUCAUUGCUGCCCAUCAAGCCCGGCUUGUGUGUUGGGUCGUCGUCCCCCCCGGGGGACGGGCCCGAAAGGCAGCGGCGGCACCGUGUCCGGUCCUCGAGCGUAUGGGGCUUUGUCACCCGCUCGAUUAGGGCCGGCCGGGCGCCAGCCGACGUCUCCAACCAUUUUCUUCAGGUUGACCUCGGAUCAGGUAGGGAUACCCGCUGAACUUAAGCAUAUCAAUAAGCGGAGGAAAAGAAACCAACCGGGAUUGCCCCAGUAACGGCGAGUGAAGCGGCAAGAGCUCAAAUUUGAAAUCUGGCCCCUCCGGGGUCCGAGUUGUAAUUUGCAGAGGAUGCUUC
rnacentral:misc_RNA from 1 species